GUCAGGAUGGUCGAGCUGUCUAAGGCUCUGUGUUCAGGUCGCAGUCUCCCCUGGAGGCGUGGGUUCGAAUCCCACUCCUAACA
rfam:Cricetulus griseus cell line CHO-K1, whole genome shotgun sequence.